UAUAAUUUAAAGUAUGGCCUGCCCACUGAAUAUUUUAAAGGGCCGCAGUAUUUUGACUGUGCAAAGGUAGCAUAAUCAUUAGUUUUUUAAUUGAAAGCUGGAAUGAAUGGUUUGAUGAAAAAAUUACUGUCUCAUUUUUAAAUUUAAAACUUUAUUUUUAAGUUAAAAAGCUUAAAUUUUUUUAAAAGACGAGAAGACCCUAUAGAGUUUCAUUUUUUUUUUUUAAAUUAAAUUUAGUAUUUAUUUUUACUUUGAAAUAAAAAAAUUUAAUUGGGGUGAUUGUAAAAUUAAAUAAACUUUUAUUUUUUAAUAACAUGAAUUAAUG
rnacentral:rRNA from 1 species